rnacentral:tRNA from 1 species
GGCGAUAGCUCGGCUGGCAGAGCAACAGCCCGGUAAGCAGAAGGUUGCCUGUUCGAUUCCGGUUUCCA